rnacentral:rRNA from 1 species
AGAGUUUGAUCCUGGCUCAGGAUGAACGCUAGCGACAGGCUUAACACAUGCAAGUCGAGGGGCAGCAUGAUUUGUAGCAAUACAGAUUGAUGGCGACCGGCGCACGGGUGAGUAACGCGUAUGCAACUUACCUAUCAGAGGGGGAUAACCCGGCGAAAGUCGGACUAAUACCGCAUGAAGCAGGGGCCCCGCAUGGGGAUAUUUGCUAAAGAUUCAUCGCUGAUAGAUAGGCAUGCGUUCCAUUAGGCAGUUGGCGGGGUAACGGCCCACCAAACCGACGAUGGAUAGGGGUUCUGAGAGGAAGGUCCCCCACAUUGGUACUGAGACACGGACCAAACUCCUACGGGAGGCAGCAGUGAGGAAUAUUGGUCAAUGGGCGUAAGCCUGAACCAGCCAAGUCGCGUGAGGGAUGAAGGUUCUAUGGAUCGUAAACCUCUUUUAUAAGGGAAUAAAGUGCGGGACGUGUCCUGUUUUGUAUGUACCUUAUGAAUAAGGAUCGGCUAACUCCGUGCCAGCAGCCGCGGUAAUACGGAGGAUCCGAGCGUUAUCCGGAUUUAUUGGGUUUAAAGGGUGCGUAGGCGGCCUUUUAAGUCAGCGGUGAAAGUCUGUGGCUCAACCAUAGAAUUGCCGUUGAAACUGGGGGGCUUGAGUAUGUUUGAGGCAGGCGGAAUGCGUGGUGUAGCGGUGAAAUGCUUAGAUAUCACGCAGAACCCCGAUUGCGAAGGCAGCCUGCCAAGCCAUGACUGACGCUGAUGCACGAAAGCGUGGGGAUCAAACAGGAUUAGAUACCCUGGUAGUCCACGCAGUAAACGAUGAUCACUAGCUGUUUGCGAUACAGUGUAAGCGGCACAGCGAAAGCGUUAAGUGAUCCACCUGGGGAGUACGCCGGCAACGGUGAAACUCAAAGGAAUUGACGGGGGCCC